GAUGAAGAACGCAGCAAAAUGCGAUAAGUAAUGUGAAUUGCAGAAUUCAGUGAAUCAUCGAAUCUUUGAACGCACAUUGCGCCCGCCAGUAUUCUGGCGGGCAUGCCUGUUCGAGCGUCAUUUCAACCCUCAAGCACAGCUUGGUGUUGGGACUCGCGUUAAUUCGCGUUCCUCAAAUUGAUUGGCGGUCACGUCGAGCUUCCAUAGCGUAGUAGUAAAACCCUCGUUACUGGUAAUCGUCGCGGCCACGCCGUCAAACCCCAACUUCUGAAUGUUGACCUCGGAUCAGGUAGGAAUACCCGCUGAACUUAAGCAUAUCAAUAAGCGGAGGA
rnacentral:misc_RNA from 1 species